rnacentral:rRNA from 1 species
CCUACGGGGCGCAGCAGUGAGGAAUAUUGGUCAAUGGUCGGGAGACUGAACCAGCCAAGCCGCGUGAGGGAGGAAGGUACAGAGUAUCGUAAACCUCUUUUGUCAGGGAACAAAGGCGGGGACGUGUCCCCGGAUGAGUGUACCUGAAGAAAAAGCAUCGGCUAACUCCGUGCCAGCAGCCGCGGUAAUACGGAGGAUGCGAGCGUUAUCCGGAUUUAUGGGGUUUAAAGGGUGCGCAGGCGGUCUGUUAAGUCAGCGGUCAAAGCCCGGGGCUCAACCCCGGCCCGCCGUUGAAACUGGCAGUCUCGAGUUGGAGAGAAGUAUGCGGAAUGCGCGGUGUAGCGGUGAAAUGCAGAGAUAUCGCGCAGAACUCCGAUUGCGAAGGCAGCAUGCCGGCUCCACACUGACGCUGAGGCACGAAAGCGUGGGUAUCGAACAGGAUUAGAUACCCGAGUAGUC